AACGAACGCUGGCGGCAUGCCUAACACAUGCAAGUCGAACGAAGCCUUCGGGCUUAGUGGCGCACGGGUGCGUAACGCGUGGGAAUCUGCCCUUGGGUUCGGAAUAACAGUUAGAAAUGACUGCUAAUACCGGAUGAUGUCUUCGGACCAAAGAUUUAUCGCCCAAGGAUGAGCCCGCGUAGGAUUAGGUAGUUGGUGGGGUAAUGGCCCACCAAGCCGACGAUCCUUAGCUGGUCUGAGAGGAUGAUCAGCCACACUGGGACUGAGACACGGCCCAGACUCCUACGGGAGGCAGCAGUGGGGAAUAUUGGACAAUGGGCGAAAGCCUGAUCCAGCAAUGCCGCGUGAGUGAUGAAGGCCUUAGGGUUGUAAAGCUCUUUUACCAGGGAUGAUAAUGACAGUACCUGGAGAAUAAGCUCCGGCUUACUCCGUGCCAGCCGCCGCGGUAACAC
rnacentral:rRNA from 1 species